UUCCCUUUUUCAUUGAGCGUCAGCGUUUUUUUGGCUUGUGUACCUCAUUAUUUCAAGGGUUUGUUUAGGUUGGAGUGGGACGUGGGUGUGCUUUCUGCACUGACAUCAGUCCAGUGAGCUUGACUCUUUCACAGAAGAGAUCAGUCCUCCGGUUAAAAGGCUCUUUUUUCCUCCUCACUCUGCAGGUUUGGCUCUUGGGAAAUGCUAUCAGAGACUCAAGUCACAGAACCCAAAGCGCCAACUGUGUAGCCUGAUUCAUGUGAAACCUCAGUGAUGUUUCAUUUUCAAGCACAGCGAUCACAUUCAGCUAAUGGAGGGCCACGCCGUUCCCAGCACCCACUGAGACAACCGUCGGAUGACGAGGCAAAACAAAGUAUCAGUGAUUGUGUAUAUGACCUUUGAACUUCAACUGAGCAACAAGGUUUUGAGAAAUUACUUCAAAAAGAGAAAGAGAGAGAAAUUAAACACUCCCACAUGGCAAGAAGAGAAGCAUGAUGGAGCCCAGAUGUGUAUGUAUGAGGAGAGCCAGCAUUAGCUGCUUUUGGACUGAAACUACAACAGAUUGUAUGUAAUUUUGUUGUCCAACACUGAUGGUUUGGAGCUAUAGUGGGGCUGAUUCAAAUAAGUCUGAUUGCUGGCCGUUGAUCCUAUGGAUUCGGAACAAAUACAGCCAUAAUGGAUGAAGGUCAAGGACUAAGAGUCAAUUGAUUUGAUCCCAAGAGCAUUUGCAGAACUAUACAGUAAUGUUCACACGAACAGCGCUCACAAGAAGGUACAGCAGCACACUUACAGAGUAACUUAUGUAAUAGCUGUUGGAUGGAGACAGAAAUACUGUUCUAGAGGCCAACAUCAUCUUGCAUAUCAUGGUUAAUGUUACCCUUCCGUGUGCCGAAUGUCCCUCUCUGUGUUUCCCCUCCAUUUUAAGAGUGUGAGGAUGCUGAUGUUCCUGUUCCAAGAAAGGCUGUGGCCAACCCUCCAGCCUGCUUUAAUGUCAUAAUGACUGCAGCAAAUCACAACCAGAAGACAGAGGCGCUCUGCCA
rnacentral:lncRNA from 12 species